UGGGGAAUAUUGCACAAUGGGCGAAAGCCUGAUGCAGCGACGCCGCGUGCGGGAUGAAGGCCUUCGGGUUGUAAACCGCUUUUGAUUGGGAGCAAGCGAGAGUGAGUGUACCUUUCGAAUAAGCACCGGCUAACUACGUGCCAGCAGCCGCGGUAAUACGUAGGGUGCAAGCGUUAUCCGGAAUUAUUGGGCGUAAAGAGCUCGUAGGCGGUUUGUCGCGUCUGGUGUGAAAGUCCAUCGCUUAACGGUGGAUCUGCGCCGGGUACGGGCAGGCUAGAGUGCGACAGGGGAGACUGGAAUUCCCGGUGUAACGGUGGAAUGUGUAGAUAUCGGGAAGAACACCAAUGGCGAAGGCAGGUCUCUGGGUCGUCACUGACGCUGAGGAGCGAAAAGCGUGGGGAGCGAACAG
rnacentral:rRNA from 1 species